rnacentral:tRNA from 3 species
GCGAGUGUAGCUCAAUGGUAGAGCCUCAGUUUUCCAAACUGAUGACGCGGGUUCGAUUCCCGUCACUCGCUCCA